rnacentral:rRNA from 1 species
CUUUUGUGGGGUGCUCGAGUGGCGAACGGGUGAGUAACACGUGAGUAACCUGCCCUUGACUUUGGGAUAACUUCAGGAAACUGGGGCUAAUACCGGAUAGGAGCUCCUGCUGCAUGGUGGGGGUUGGAAAGUUUCGGCGGUUGGGGAUGGACUCGUGGCUUAUCAGCUUGUUGGUGGGGUAGUGGCUUACCAAGGCUUUGACGGGUAGCCGGCCUGGGAGGGUGACCGGCCACAUUGGGACUGAGAUACGGCCCAG